rnacentral:tRNA from 1 species
GCCAACGUAGCUUAUUCAAAGCAUAACACUGAAGAUGUUAAGAUGGGCCUUAAACUGGCUUCGGGGGCA